CACGGGGGGAGCAAGCGUUGUUCGGAAUCACUGGGCGUAAAGGGCGUGUAGGCGGUCAAGUAAGUGGAAUGUGAAAUCCCCCCGGCUUACCCGGGGACCGGCAUCCCAUACUGCUUGGCUUGAGUACGGGAGAGGAUGUGGGAAUUCCUGGUGUAGCGGUGAAAUGCGUAGAUAUCAGGAGGAACACCGGUGGCGAAGGCGCACAUCUGGCCCGAUACUGACGCUGAAGCGCGAAAGCUAGGGGGAGCAAACGGG
rnacentral:rRNA from 1 species